GAAAUGCGAUAAGUAAUGUGAAUUGCAGAAUUCAGUGAAUCAUCGAAUCUUUGAACGCACCUUGCGCUCCUUGGUAUUCCGAGGAGCACGCCUGUUUGAGUGUCGUGUAAUUCUCAACCUUACCUGUCUUUGCGGAYGGUUGUAAGGUUGGAUGUUGGAGGUCUAUUGUCGGUUUGUAACGAACCGGCUCCUCUCAAAUGCAUUAGCUCUGUCCUUUGUGGAUCGGCUCCCAGUGUGAUAAUUAUCUGCGCUGCGACCGUGAAGCGUUUUAUUAUGGCGAGCUUCUAAUGGUCUCUUCAAUGAGACAAGUAACACUUUGACAAUCUGACCUCAAAUCAGGCGGGACUACCCGCUGAACUUAA
rnacentral:rRNA from 1 species